rnacentral:rRNA from 1 species
AUUGAACGCUGGCGGCAUGCUUUACACAUGCAAGUCGAACGGUAACAGGGAGCUUGCUCCGCUGACGAGUGGCGAACGGGUGAGUAAUGCAUCGGAACGUACCGUGUAAUGGGGGAUAACGUAGCGAAAGUUACGCUAAUACCGCAUACGACCUGAGGGUGAAAGCGGGGAUCGCAAGACCUCGCGCGAUGGGAGCGGCCGAUAUCGGAUUAGCUUGUUGGUGAGGUAAAGCUCACCAAGCGACGAUCCGUAGCUGGUCUGAGAGGACGACCAGCCACACUGGAACUGAGACACGGUCCAGACUCCUACGGAGGCAGCAGU